rfam:Schistosoma mansoni strain Puerto Rico chromosome 1, complete genome
AUCCAGCUGACGAGUCUCAAAUAGGACGAAACGCAUGUCCUAAAU